rnacentral:rRNA from 1 species
CCUACGGGAGGCAGCAGUGGGGAAUAUUGCACAAUGGGCGAAAGCCUGAUGCAGCAACGCCGCGUGAGUGAUGACGGCCUUCGGGUUGUAAAGCUCUGUUUUCAGGGACGAAAAUGACGGUACCUGAGGAGGCAGCUAUGGAUAACUACGGGCCAGCAGCCGCGGUAAUACGUAGGUGGCGAGGGUUGUCCGGAAUUACUGGGCGUAAAGGGAGCGUAGGCGGUCUUUUAGGUGUGAUGUGAAAUCCUCGGGCUCAACCUGAGUAGUGCAUUUCAAACUGGAAGUCUAGAGUGCAGGAGAGGAGAGUGGAAGUCCUAGUGUAGCGGUGAAAUGCGUAGAGAUUAGGAAGAACACCAGUGGCGAAGGCGAUUCUCUGGACUGUAACUGACGCUGAGGCUCGAAAGCGUGGGGAGCAAACAGGAUUAGAUACCCCGGUAGUC